rnacentral:RNase_P_RNA from 1 species
CAGAAAAGAUAUAACCGUGCCUGAUUUGCUGAUGAAAGCAGACUCGGGUGAGGAAAGUCCGGGCUCCACCGGAAAAAACGCCGGAUAACAACCGGGCAGAAGAAGGAACUUGUUUAUCAGUCCUUGUGGCUGUCAGCAUAAGCCUUCCUUCUGACAGACAGUGCCACAGAAAAUAAACCGCCUUCGGGUAAGGGUGAAAAGGUGAGGUAAGGGCUCACCGCGGUUUUGGCAACAGGACCGGCAUGGCAAACCUCGUUUGGAGCAAGGCCAAGCAGCGGUCAGGUUUUCCGGACUAAUGGCCGCGGGUAGGCUGCUAAAGGCUUUUGGCAACAAAAGUUUCGGAUAGAUGGUUAUGCGCGCUUUUCUUUCUUUAGAAAAUGCACAGGACAGAACCCGGCUUAUUAUCUUUUCUGUUUU